UGAUGGCGGCGGAGGGGGAAGCGGGGCCCGGUGCGGCAGCGGGACUGGCCCUGGUGGAGGGCAGCUCAGGCCGGGCUGCCCGCGUCGGGGACCCCGGGGAUCUGGUGGCCCUGGCCCGGCAGGUGCAGCAGGUGAGGGCAGACGACUUCAUCCGUGCCAAUGCCUGCAACAAGCUGGCUGUCAUUGCCCAGCAGAUCCAGUACCUCCAGGAGCAGGCACGGAAGAUCUUGGAUGAAGCCAGCAGAGAUGCUGAUCUGAACCACGUGGCCUGCAACCUCGUGAAGAAGCCAGGGAACAUUUACUACAUGUACAGGAGGGAGAGUGGCCAGCGGUACUUCUCCAUCCUGUCUCCCAAGGAGUGGGGGACCAGUCCUCAUGAAUUUGUUGGUGCCUAUAAGCUCCAGCAUGACAUGUCAUGGACUCCGUUUGAGGAGAUUGAGAGAAGAGAUGCUGAGAUGAAGGUUCUGGACAAGCUGCUGAGCCAGCAGGCAGCACUGCCCCCGUGUACAGAGCCCAACUUCCAGGGCUUGACCAAGUGACAUCAGUGACCAUCCAGGUCCCCCCUGUGCAGAGUGUUCUGCCUAAGGCAGAGCAAGGAAAGAGACCAAGAAACAAAAAUGCUGAUGUUGCCAGUACUUGCUCUGUGUUUGAACAAGGUGGUCCAAACCCCUGAAUCUGGCACACGUUAUGACCUGGAGCUCUUUCCUCUGGGAAGAACACCCUCAAAUUGCCAUGCAGGGCUCAGGCACUCUUCAAAAGGUGUGUGUUUCUCUGUCCUAGUGCCUUCCCCUGGGCUCUGAGUGCUUGAGCUGCCAAGAUGAGACAGGAGUGUGCAGGGACACUGAAUAAUAAUGAAAAUAAAUGAGAAUAAGUAAAUAAAAGAGAAUUUUAAUGAGAAAAUAAAUCAGUAUUGAGCUCAAGUGUACCUCUGAGACAGGCCCUGUGUGGAAAGCAUCCCUUUGGCUUUACCAGGUGGCAUAAGGGGUUAGUAGGACAACUCCAGCCUCCUUUUCCACCAAGAUAAUUGGGAAGAGGCAAAGGCCAGAGGUGCUGAGAUGUUCUCCCUCUGCCCAGCUUCACAGGGCUCCUCUGCACAAAGCCUGGUUUGGACUAUACUGAUGGAGAAGAUAUCCAGGUUGGGUGCUGGCAUCUCAAGUCAGAUCUGCUCUCAUCUUCUCCUGACUUACUGAC